rnacentral:rRNA from 1 species
AUACGGAGGAUCCGAGCGUUAUCCGGAUUUAUUGGGUUUAAAGGGUGCGCAGGCGGCCAUUUAAGUCAGCGGUUAAAUCGUGGGGCUCAACCCCAUUCUGCCGUUGAUACUGGGUGGCUUGAUUGCGGUCGAGGUUGGCGGAAUUCGUUGUGUCGCGGUGAAAUGCAUAGAUAUGACGAAGAACACCGAUUGCGUAGGCAGCUGACCAGACCGCAAAUGACGCUCAUGCACGAAAGUGCGGGGAUCGAACAGGAUUAGAUACCCUGGUAGUCCGCACAGUAAACGAUGAAUACUUGUUUUCGGCGAUAUAAUGUCGGAGGCAAAGCGAAAGCGAUAAGUAUUCCACCUGGGGAGUACGCCGGCAACGGUGAAACUCAAAGGAAUUGGCGGGG